rnacentral:rRNA from 1 species
GAGAUGGUAGUUCCCUUCGGGGUCUAUGCACAGGUGCUGCAUGGCUGUCGUCAGCUCGUGCCGUGAGGUGUUGGGUUAAGUCCCGCAACGAGCGCAACCCUUGUCAUUAGUUGCCAACACGUGAUGGUGGGAACUCUAAUGAGACUGCCUAGGUUAACUAGGAGGAAGGUGAGGAUGACGUCAAGUCAGCAUGGCCCUUAUGCCUGGGGCUACACACGUACUACAAUGGCCGGUACAAAAGGCAGCGAAGCCGCAAGGUGAAGCAAAUCCCGAAAGCCGGCCCCAGUUCAGAUUGUAGUCUGCAACUCGACUACAUGAAGUUGGAAUUGCUAGUAAUGGCGUGUCAGCAUUAACGCCGUGAAUACGUUCCCGGGUCUU